rnacentral:rRNA from 1 species
AACGCUAGCUACAGGCUUAACACAUGCAAGUCGAGGGGCAGCAUGGUCUUAGCUUGCUAAGGCCGAUGGCGACCGGCGCACGGGUGGGUAACACGUAUCCAACCUGCCGUCUACUCUUGGACAGCCUUCUGAAAGGAAGAUUAAUACAAGAUGGCAUCAUGAGUCCGCAUGUUCACAUGAUUAAAGGUAUUCCGGUAGACGAUGGGGAUGCGUUCCAUUAGAUAGUAGGCGGGGUAACGGCCCACCUAGUCUUCGAUGGAUAGGGGUUCUGAGAGGAAGGUCCCCCACAUUGGAACUGAGACACGGUCCAAACUCCUACGGGAGGCAGCAGUGAGGAAUAUUGGUCAAUGGGCGAGAGCCUGAACCAGCCAAGUAGCGUGAAGGAUGACUGCCCUAUGGGUUGUAAACUUCUUUUAUAAAGGAAUAAAGUCGGGUAUGCAUACCCGUUUGCAUGUACUUUAUGAAUAAGGAUCGGCUAACUCCGUGCCAGCAGCCGCGGUAAUACGGAGGAUCCGAGCGUUAUCCGGAUUUAUUGGGUUUAAAGGGAGCGUAGAUGGAUGUUUAAGUCAGUUGUGAAAGUUUGCGGCUCAACCGUAAAAUUGCAGUUGAUACUGGAUAUCUUGAGUGCAGUUGAGGCAGGCGGAAUUCGUGGUGUAGCGGUGAAAUGCUUAGAUAUCACGAAGAACUCCGAUUGCGAAGGCAGCCUGCUAAGCUGCAACUGACAUUGAGGCUCGAAAGUGUGGGUAUCAAACAGGAUUAGAUACCCUGGUAGUCCACACGGUAAACGAUGAAUACUCGCUGUUUGCGAUAUACUGCAAGCGGCCAAGCGAAAGCGUUAAGUAUUCCACCUGGGGAGUACGCCGGCAACGGUGAAACUCAAAGGAAUUGACGGGGGCCCGCACAAGCGGAGGAACAUGUGGUUUAAUUCGAUGAUACGCGAGGAACCUUACCCGGGCUUAAAUUGCAGAUGAAUUACGGUGAAAGCCGUAAGCCGCAAGGCAUCUGUGAAGGUGCUGCAUGGUUGUCGUCAGCUCGUGCCGUGAGGUGUCGGCUUAAGUGCCAUAACGAGCGCAACCCUUGUUGUCAGUUACUAACAGGUUCCGCUGAGGACUCUGACAAGACUGCCAUCGUAAGAUGUGAGGAAGGUGGGGAUGACGUCAAAUCAGCACGGCCCUUACGUCCGGGGCUACACACGUGUUACAAUGGGGGGUACAGAGGGCCGCUACCACGCGAGUGGAUGCCAAUCCCCAAAACCUCUCUCAGUUCGGACUGGAGUCUGCAACCCGACUCCACGAAGCUGGAUUCGCUAGUAAUCGCGCAUCAGCCACGGCGCGGUGAAUACGUUCCCGGGCCUUGUACACACCGCCCGUCAAGCCAUGGGAGCCGGGGGUACCUGAAGUGCGUAACCGCGAGGAGCGCCCUAGGGUAAAACUGGUGACUGGGGC